CCAACAAGCCCACCCCCAGCUGAGAGCGCACAGAAGAAAGCCAGCCUCCAACUGUAAAAAAAACAACAACACAUCAAGGGGCAAUCUUCCUUUUUUCAAAAAACCAAACCACCACCAACAAAAACUGGGGCUACCAUCCUACACCCACUUGCAUUGGAGUAAGCCCUGCUGAACUCAACAGGGGAGACCCAAGAAGAGCCCAGUUGCUGGAUCCGGCCAACUGGAUCAGCAUCCUGUUCUCACAGCUGCCAACCGGAUGCCCCUAUGGGACGCCCGCAAGGAGGGCUUGGGGCUUAUAAUAGUGUGGGCUGCGUUUGGGUUACAGAGUUAAAUCUCUUGAAAGAGGGGCGAAAGGAAGCAACAAAUGGGAAGGAAACUGGCCAGCUUGUGAAAUCCAAAACCGGAUUGGCACAAUACUCUCCUGGGGGCCUUCCUUCAGGAUAUGAGCAAACACACCCAUAGAAGCAAGGAGGGAAGGACUUCAUGCAUCCUGCCUCUUCUUCCAAAGCACAGCCUCCAACAGCGGAGAGGACAGCAAUCCCUUUGCCAAAAUGUAGCAUUAAAAACUAGGCAUAUGUGUGAAUGGGGGGGGGGGAGGUUUCCAAUUAAAGGAAAGUAAUAUUGUGAUCAACUAUAAAAUCACAGCUCACAUAUUUCAAAGACCGUAAGUGAAUUGCGAGGCUCCGAAGUCAGGCAUUUUAAAACAGAUUGUGCUUUUUCUUUUUCCUCCCCCAGAAGGACACAUGUCCCUUUUAAGUAAGCUAAGGUCUGUUAUUGACAUGAAUAAACCAUGCAUUUCCUAUUCAGAAUACGGUCCCAUCUUGGCUAUGCUACUUUCUAAAGGCACACAUUUCCCUUCCCUGUUUGGCAACAUUUCAACUGCUUGUCAUAAGGUGAGCAAGGCCCUCAUUUCAGAUUCAAAUGUGAAUCGCUGCCAAAUUGACCUGCUGUUCUCUCCCUUUCAGCUACUGUAACCAACACCACACAAACAAUGAAUUAUGAGAUUAGAGUUACAGAAAAAUGGACUCAUUCUGCAGAUGUUGUGUCUGGAACAAGCUGCUUUGUCUCAUGUUUGUUGUGCCAUGUU